rnacentral:pre_miRNA from 1 species
AGUGGAAUUAUUGGAUCAUGUGGUACCUCUAUGUUCAGCUUUUUGAAGAGUUGCCAAACUUCUUUUCAAAGUAUCUGUACCAUUUUACAUUCCCAAGAAAU